GAGUUGCAGGAUCUGUGACGGCGUCGAGGGAAACAAAACAACCACCCCGUUCACUGAGAUUAUACAGCACAUGGUACCUGAAUUGAUUUAAUCAAAAAACACCCAGUGAACUGAUAGUAGAAAUUUGUUUACAGAGAUCGUCAAGAAAAGCUCAAAAGAACAUGUAAAUAUUUGUGAGGGACCAAGCUGGAACUGGAAGGACUCACGUUAGCUAAGUUUGUGUAACUUGCUGAGUGCGUGCUACUAACGUUGCUAUUUCAAAACUUUAACUAGUUGUGUGCUUUUUAAUCGGGUAAACAAUGCAAGCUUACUGUUGUAUUUGAUGAAGUGGUCUUUGUUGCCUGAGGAAAUUAAACGCCGGCGAAACUAAACCUUGAAAAUGGACAAUGGCGUGACUGAUCACCAAUCCCACGGUAUCGUUGCGUUUGACCUGUACCAUCAUUUCGUUCGAGGGGAAUAAACGAUACAAUAGGGGAAACACCAUCGCCAAAUUCAAGGGUAAAUUGGAGAUGGUUCUGGGUACCCCGGCUUCCAGUAUGGAACUACAGCUUUUCUUCACCACCACCGACAAGUUCAUGCAGAAGCUGGACGACAACCAGGCCCUGCUAGGUUCCUACCCUGUGCAUGAUGACUGCAAAAGGAAUGUAUAGUAGAUUUCAAGCCAGGUCAUUGGGUGGGAGUGAAGUACAACGAGCCUCUUGGGAAACAUGACGGGCAGUGUGAAGGAGAAGUGAUACUUUGAACGUGAGAACAAGUACUUUGCGUUUGUCAGGCCCCGCACAAAGACCGUGGGGCACUUCCCAGAGGAAGACUUUCAUCUGGACAAGUUGUAGGACUGUGAUGCUGUCACACUGUCAAGGGGUGUGGGCAGAUGGGUUCAACAUAGACCUCCAGUCUGAUUACGAACCCAGGGUGAGGGACAGUGUCAUUGCGAUUAAUAACUUUAUUUUGUGCUGGUCAGGGAGGUAUGGGUUGGACUAUAGAGAGCUGCAACUGGGGAAGGAGGCAGUAUCACCUAGGACCGACUCUAGCGUAUGACAUCUCUUGUGGCACAGCGGUCUAAGGCACUGCAUCUCCGUGCUAGAGACGUCAUGACAGACGCCCCUAGCAAAAAAAAAAGAAAAGUAGAAUUUACUGUAUAUUGAAUGAGGAGAGAUGAGAAAAGCACAAUGUUUUUGCCUUGUUACAAAUACAUUGUCGAUGUAUUUAAUGUAAAUGUCCUUUUAUUCAGUGGAUGUAGAAAGCAAGCGUUCCUAAAUUGAUGUCCUCAGAAUUUUGAGUUGUACCUCAAUUGCCCAUCACAUCCUAGAUUCUAUAUGAAUAAUAGGCAGUCAUAAAAAUCACAACAAUGUUCAUCAAAUGUCAAUUAUCAUCCCAAGCCAGUGUUCUAUCAAACUUUCUAAAAUAAAUCCCAUGCUUUUGAAUUCAAGCAACAACAAAAUAUCUAUUUGUACUACUGACAAAAUGUUCAGUUUAUUUGAAUAUCUGUUAGUUCAUUGGUUAUUGUACCAUAGAAGCUGUUUGUUUUUGUGUCGUGUCCCUGUUUUAGAUUCUGGAAACUUCCACUGCUUCUAACACCCUAACACAACCGCAAGGCUCUCCGGAGGAUCGUGCGGUCUGUACAACGCAUCACUGGGACCGACUGGGGAAAAACAGCUAUCUCAAGGCCAUCACAGACUGUUAAACAACCAAAACAGAGAGGCUGCUGCCUACAUACAGACUUGAAAUCAUUGGCCACUUUAAUAACUGGAUCACUAGUUACUUUAAUGCCACUUUAAUAAUGUUUACAUCUUACAUACUCUUCUCAUAUGUAUAUACUGUAUUUUAUACAAUGUAUUGCAUCUUGCCUAUGCCGUGUGGUCAUUGCUCAUCCAUAUAUUUAUACGUACAUAUUCUUAUACCAUCCCUUUAGAUUUGUGUGUAUUAGGUAAUUAUUUUGGAUUUGUUAUAUAUUACUGCACUGUCGGAACUAGAAGCACAAGCAUUUCACUACACUCGCAUUAACAUCUGCUAACCAUGUGUAUGUGACCAAUAAGAUUUGAUUAGAAUGUCGAAACAUCAGUUGUGCACAUUGACAGCAUACAGUUCAAACCGGCUGCCCAGGUGGUGACAGUGCACUUUUCAUGUAGAUAUCACGUCUUGUCUGAGCUUCAUUGUACUAAUCCUCAUCGCCACUUCUAACAGUUUGACUCAUGAACGCAGGUGAUCUGUCAUUUGUUGUGUCACUCCUGGUUGAGUGAGUUUCAGAAGAGAAAAUGUGGAUACAAAAGCAAUUGAUUCAUUCGUUCCUUUUUUAUUGAAUUGUAUUUUUCCCAAGAUGUUGUCAGCAACUAACAUGCCCAGAAUUGUACAAGAUUUGCCAUUCGUUUUUAUGAAAUCUCAAAGGUGUUGAUGUACCAAAGUGUAAUGGUAUCUUAUGCAUAAUAAAACGUAGUAUUACCAGAA